AUUGAACGCUGGCGGCAGGCCUAACACAUGCAAGUCGAGCGGGAGAAGGGAGCUUGCUCCCUGAUUCGGCGGCGGACGGGUGAGUAAUGCCUAGGAAUCUGCCUGGUAGUGGGGGACAACGUCUCGAAAGGGACGCUAAUACCGCAUACGUCCUACGGGAGAAAGUGGGGGAUCUUCGGACCUCACGCUAUCAGAUGAGCCUAGGUCGGAUUAGCUAGUUGGUGAGGUAAAGGCUCACCAAGGCGACGAUCCGUAACUGGUCUGAGAGGAUGAUCAGUCACACUGGAACUGCGACACGGUCCAGACUCCUACGGGAGGCAGCAGUGGGGAAUAUUGGACAAUGGGCGAAAGCCUGAUCCAGCCAUGCCGCGUGUGUGAAGAAGGUCUUCGGAUUGUAAAGCACUUUAAGUUGGGAGGAAGGGUUGCUGAUUAAUACUCUGCAAUUUUGACGUUACCGACAGAAUAAGCACCGGCUAACUCAGUGCCAGCCGCCGCUGUAAUAC
rnacentral:rRNA from 1 species